UGCUACAAUGAUGACAUUUAUUUGCUACUCUUGACUGCAAGAAUGACGACAGACUAAACCACCAUUACUUUAACUGAGGCA
rfam:Ictidomys tridecemlineatus contig014985, whole genome shotgun sequence.